GAUGAAGAACGCAGCGAAAUGCGAUAAGUAAUGUGAAUUGCAGAAUUCAGUGAAUCAUCGAAUCUUUGAACGCACAUUGCGCCCGCUAGUAUUCUGGCGGGCAUGCCUGUCCGAGCGUCAUUUCAACCCUCAAGCCCCCGGGCUUGGUGUUGGGGAUCGGCGAGCCUCCGCGCCCGCCGUCCCCUAAAUCUAGUGGCGGUCUCGCUGUAGCUUCCUCUGCGUAGUAGCACACCUCGCACUGGGAAACAGCGCGGCCACGCCGUUGAACCCCCAACUUCUGAACGUUUGACCUCGGAUCAGGUAGGAAUACCCGCUGAACUUAAGCAUAUCAAUAAGCGGAGGA
rnacentral:misc_RNA from 1 species